rnacentral:rRNA from 1 species
UACGUAGGUGGCAAGCGAUACUCGGAAUCACUAGGCGUAAAGCGCAGGUAGGCGGUGCGAUAAGUCUCUUGUGAAAGCUCCCGGCUUAACUGGGAGAGGUCAAGGGAAACUGUCGUGCUAGAGUGUGGCAGAGGAAGCUAGAAUUCCCGGUGUAGCGGUGAAAUGCGUAGAUAUCGGGAGGAAUACCUAUGGGCGAAAAGCAGGCUUCUGGGCCGUCACUGACGCUGGAUCUGCGAAAGCUAGGGGAGCAAACAGG